UACGGAGGGUACAAGCGUUAAUCGGAAUUACUGGGCGUAAAACGCACGCAGGCGGCUUGUUAAGUCGGAUGUGAAAGCCCCGGGCUCAACCUGGGAAUUGCAUUCGAUACUGGCAAGCUAGAGUAUGUGAGAGGGGGGUAGAAUUCCAAGUGUAGCGGUGAAAUGCGUAAAGAUUUGGAAGAAUACCAGUGGCGAAGGCGGCCCCCUGGCACACUACUGACGCUCAGGUGCGAAAGCGUGGAGAGCAAACAGG
rnacentral:rRNA from 1 species